CCCCUAGCCUAUCUCUGAAGGUGGCAAUGAACUCCAAGUGUUCCCUGCAACUCCCUAGGAGGCGCUAGGACCACCCAUGGGACGUAGUGGACCGUUGUAACCAUCUUGCCCCCUUGGAAUAGCUGACAGCCAAUGGCAUUAAAGCAGCAAACCAGUGUUAAAAUCUGUCAUGGCAGUAAGACAUCCUUGCAGACCAGGGAACACAAAACUGAAAAUAAAUCGAUGAAAAUCAAGAAGACAAGAAACUGGAGCCUAUUAUCCAGAGUGAAGUAAGCCAGAAAGAAAAACACCAAUACAGUAUACUAACGCAUAUAUAUGGAAUUUAGAAAGAUGGUAACAAUAACCCUGUGUACGAGACAGCAAA